UCCUGACUGACCGAUAGUGAACCAGUACCGUGAGGGAAAGGCGAAAAGAACCCCGGCGAGGGGAGUGAAAAAGAACCUGAAACCGUGUACGUACAAGCAGUGGGAGCACGCUUAGGCGUGUGACUGCGUACCUUUUGUAUAAUGGGUCAGCGACUUAUAUUCUGUAGCAAGGUUAACCGAAUAGGGGAGCCGAAGGGAAACCGAGUCUUAACUGGGCGUUAAGUUGCAGGGUAUAGACCCGAAACCCGGUGAUCUAGCCAUGGGCAGGUUGAAGGUUGGGUAACACUAACUGGAGGACCGAACCGACUAAUGUUGAAAAAUUAGCGGAUGACUUGUGGCUGGGGGUGAAAGGCCAAUCAAACCGGGAGAUAGCUGGUUCUCCCCGAAAGCUAUUUAGGUAGCGCCUCGUGAAUUCAUCUCCGGGGGUAGAGCACUGUUUCGGCAAGGGGGUCAUCCCGACUUACCAACCCGAUGCAAACUG
rnacentral:rRNA from 1 species